rnacentral:rRNA from 1 species
AUGUGUCGGGUCCGCGUCGGCGGCGACCCUGUCGAUAAUCGGCCCCGACUUGGCGGAGGUGACCGGGCCGGAGAAGAGCUGCCGGCUGCUCUGGUCGUGGCAUUGGCUGCUCUGGUGGCGCUCUCGGUCCUUGUGGUCGCAAACAAGGAGGAGGUCGAGGCCGCGCAUGGGGUCGCCGAAGACGAGGCAGAUGCGGUGGUAGACGGCGCAGACGGCGCGCGCGAGCAGGAGCACGGCCUUGUCGUAGGUCCAGCCCCAGAGCGAGGCGUCGCGGAGGCGGCGCGCGUCCUGGCGCCGCCAGCGGGCGCGCUGCAGGAGCGCGCGGCGGGCCUCGUCGGUGGGGAGCUUGCGGGCCGACUCCUCGAGGUCGGCGAGCGCGUCCAGCUCGGCGUAGAGCGCGGCCGUGGCAGACGCGAGGCGGUCGAGCUGCCGGAGGAGCGCCGCCUCGGACUGAGACGCGGGGGCGAAGAAGGGGUAGGCCGAGGCAGGGGAGCGGCCGGCGAGGAGGUCGGCGUAGACGUGGUCGAAGCCCUGGAGCGCCGGGGCGGCGCAGCGGCGGCCGAGGCGCGCGGCGACGGCGGCGACGCGGUUGAGCGCAUCGAGCUUCUCGGCGAGCGCGAGGGCGAGGAGGCGCGCGUCGUCGCCCGGGACGAGCGCGCGGACGGCGUGGGAGCCGAGGCAGAGCGGGCCGAGCAGGCGGGCGGCCUCGGCGGCGGAGAGCGAGCGGUGGAGGCUGGCGGCGCGCGACAUGGCGUUGGCCAGCUCGAAGGACAGGAUGCCGACCCUGCCGCUGGCGCCGUCCUUGUCCCCCUUCCUGCCGGCCUUCUUGUUGGAGAGGGUGCUUUGCUGGUGCGGCAGAGAAAGGAAGGAGCAAAUCCAAGCAACUCGACGGCGUGUGGAUUUGAAUUGGAAGCCCUCCCUCCCCUUGGCUGGCUCCGAUCUAUCUCGAAAAUCAAUGGCGGAGCAGAGAAGUCAACACGUCGAGACAGUACUGGCAGUACUGUUACCAGACAGCAGGAGCUAGCAGCGCUGCCACCAUUAACCAGAGAGAGAGAGACGAAAAAGGGAGGGAAGAUGGGGGAGGAAGAAACAAAAAAGAAAGAAAAUCUCUCGCGCUCUCCGGUCGGGGCGGGUGGUGUUGUGCUCGCCUACUUCCUUCCGCCCUUCAAGGAAAGAAAUGGCGGAGAAGAUGGGUGGAGGAGACAGGGGAUUCGGGAGUGA